rnacentral:misc_RNA from 1 species
AAGUCGUAACAAGGUAACCGUAGGUGAACCUGCGGUUGGAUCAUUAAUAAAGAAAGAGGGCUUGCGCAAGCAAGCCCUUUCAUGCUAAUCGAUUCUAUCGAUUAGUAAUGAGAGGCCUUCUCGAAAGGGAAGGUCAAUCAACACAUUUUGUGAACCGUUCCGUCCUUCGGCGAGUGGGUAGAACAUCCUAGGGAAUAUCUACUUGUCAACAGAUUACUUGUAAUCUUGUCGUGGACACCUCGCCGGACCCCUUUUUUCAGACUUUUUGUAAUUAUUUUUUCUGUCUGACAUCAACCUUUGUAAUAAAUACAAAAAACAACUUUUGGCAACGGAUCUCUUGGCUCUC